AACCGACUAAUGUUGAAAAAUUAGCGGAUGACUUGUGGCUGGGGGUGAAAGGCCAAUCAAACCGGGAGAUAGCUGGUUCUCCCCGAAAGCUAUUUAGGUAGCGCCUCGUGAAUUCAUCUCCGGGGGUAGAGCACUGUUUCGGCAAGGGGGUCAUCCCGACUUACCAACCCGAUGCAAACUGCGAAUACCGGAGAAUGUUAUCACGGGAGACACACGGCGGGUGCUAACGUCCGUCGUGAAGAGGGAAACAACCCAGACCGCCAGCUAAGGUCCCAAAGUCAUGGUUAAGUGGGAAACGAUGUGGGAAGGCCCAGACAGCCAGGAUGUUGGCUUAGAAGCAGCCAUCAUUUAAAGAAAGCGUAAUAGCUCACUGGUCGAGUCGGCCUGCGCGGAAGAUGUAACGGGGCUAAACCAUGCACCGAAGCUGCGGCAGCGACACUAUGUGUUGUUGGGUAGGGGAGCGUUCUGUAAGCCUGUGAAGGUGGCCUGUGAGGGUUGCUGGAGGUAUCAGAAGUGCGAAUGCUGACAUAAGUAACGAUAAAGCGGGUGAAAAGCCCGCUCGCCGGAAGACCAAGGGUUCCUGUCCAACGUUAAUCGGGGCAGGGUGAGUCGACCCCUAAGGCGAGGCCGAAAGGCGUAGUCGAUGGGAAACAGGUUAAUAUUCCUGUACUUGGUGUUACUGCGAAGGGGGGACGGAGAAGGCUAUGUUGGCCGGGCGACGGUUGUCCCGGUUUAAGCGUGUAGGCUGGUUUUCCAGGCAAAUCCGGAAAACCAAGGCUGAGGCGUGAUGACGAGGCACUACGGUGCUGAAGCGACAAAUGCCCUGCUUCCAGGAAAAGCCUCUAAGCAUCAGGUAACAUCAAAUCGUACCCCAAACCGACACAGGUGGUCAGGUAGAGAAUACCAAGGCGCUUGAGAGAACUCGGGUGAAGGAACUAGGCAAAAUGGUGCCGUAACUUCGGGAGAAGGCACGCUGAUAUGUAGGUGAAGCGACUUGCUCGUGGAGCUGAAAUCAGUCGAAGAUACCAGCUGGCUGCAACUGUUUAUUAAAAACACAGCACUGUGCAAACACGAAAGUGGACGUAUACGGUGUGACGCCUGCCCGGUGCCGGAAGGUUAAUUGAUGGGGUUAGCGGUAACGCGAAGCUCUUGAUCGAAGCCCCGGUAAACGGCGGCCGUAACUAUAACGGUCCUAAGGUAGCGAAAUUCCUUGUCGGGUAAGUUCCGACCUGCACGAAUGGCGUAAUGAUGGCCAGGCUGUCUCCACCCGAGACUCAGUGAAAUUGAACUCGCUGUGAAGAUGCAGUGUACCCGCGGCAAGACGGAAAGACCCCGUGAACCUUUACUAUAGCUUGACACUGAACAUUGAGCCUUGAUGUGUAGGAUAGGUGGGAGGCUUUGAAGUGUGGACGCCAGUCUGCAUGGAGCCGACCUUGAAAUACCACCCUUUAAUGUUUGAUGUUCUAACGUUGGCCCGUAAUCCGGGUUGCGGACAGUGUCUGGUGGGUAGUUUGACUGGGGCGGUCUCCUCCUAAAGAGUAACGGAGGAGCACGAAGGUUGGCUAAUCCUGGUCGGACAUCAGGAGGUUAGUGCAAUGGCAUAAGCCAGCUUGACUGCGAGCGUGACGGCGCGAGCAGGUGCGAAAGCAGGUCAUAGUGAUCCGGUGGUUCUGAAUGGAAGGGCCAUCGCUCAACGGAUAAAAGGUACUCCGGGGAUAACAGGCUGAUACCGCCCAAGAGUUCAUAUCGACGGCGGUGUUUGGCACCUCGAUGUCGGCUCAUCACAUCCUGGGGCUGAAGUAGGUCCCAAGGGUAUGGCUGUUCGCCAUUUAAAGUGGUACGCGAGCUGGGUUUAGAACGUCGUGAGACAGUUCGGUCCCUAUCUGCCGUGGGCGCUGGAGAACUGAGGGGGGCUGCUCCUAGUACGAGAGGACCGGAGUGGACGCAUCACUGGUGUUCGGGUUGUCAUGCCAAUGGCACUGCCCGGUAGCUAAAUG
rnacentral:rRNA from 1 species